UUAUUAAUAUAUUUAAUAUAUUUAAGAUGACGCAACGCGCAUGCGCCGCGCGAGUUACUAAACUUGCCAGUGGACAGGACAGCCAUUUUGUCUUUGGUGGUGAUCAGCUCAACACGUAUCGUUCUCAUUAAAUUCAAAUUAUCAGGAAUUCUAUAGGUUGUAAAAACAGCAUAGAAUAAGGUGGGGAGAAACGUUCGCGCGAGCCGUAAUACAACACAACGAUAUAUAGUGUCAUUCUUCAUCAUGCUGGAGCAGGAUGCUCAUAGUGCAAGAAUUAACGAAGAUUUAAAAUCGUGCGCGAACAUUAAAUAAAUCGAGUAUUGUAUCGCUAAAUUAAAAAAACGAAACUAGAGACGAAACAAGAGCAGUGCUUGUUCAUUAAUUAAAAUUUUUAAUUAUCAGUUCAUGAAAAGUUUAUUAAAUCACAAUUCGUUAAAUCAACUAUGAGGAGUUUGAAAUAAGUGUACUGUAUCGAUUGUGUGCAAAACAAUCAGUUAUAGAAUCAAUGUUUGUUCGUACAAAGUUUUAUUUUUAUAUUUGAUAGACUGUAGUUAUAUUUAAACAGUAAAUUAAAUUCAAUGUUAUCGCGUAAUAAAUAAAUUAUUAUCGCGUAUUGGAAUCAGUGCAUUUUGGAAGAUAAUCAAGAAAUCAGUACACAUCUUUUGUAACAGAAUAUUAGCAAGUAGCUUGAUAAAUUUUAUAAACCAUAAUUUUCAUUAAUUCGUCGUGACAAUAAAUUUAUUCGAAAUUUGUUUUAAAUCUUUUUGCAGAUGAUCAUCGUUAUAAUAAUUCACAAAAGUUUCAACCUAGAACAAUUUGUUAAUCUACUUAAUUUUCAAUCUAUUAUGGAUCAACAUAUCGUCAAUUUUUUUCAAUUUCGAGGUACAAAGAGGACGAGUUUUUUAAUGCCAUUAGAGAAUUUCUUAACUAAUUAAUUAAUUAAAAUUUAGUCUUAAAAAUUGCUUAUGAGCUGCGAAAUUAAAAUCAAGCAAUAACGAGUAUACAAGUCGAACGUAGAGAAAAUGUUCCUAUUAUAAAUUUUAUAAAAAAAGCAAAGCAAGUCGAAGAAGGAUUACAUUUUUAUUUGAUAAAAAAUUGUUGAAAAAGAUAUUGUUAUAAAAAAUUUUUAAACUACCAAAAAAUAAUGAAAUUCAUGAACACGAAAAAUUACUUUUUAAUUUAGGAAUAACGAAUUAUUUUUCUAGCUAAUUUUUAUACCACUUUAUCCGUUACUUUAUUUUGAUAAUAACUAAGGAAACCAGGUAAAAAAAUUCAAGCAAACCUCUUUUUGAAUCUUAUAAAUAUCACGUUCUUGCAACAAACUGAAAAUUACUAAGGAUCGUCAUAGUUUGCGCAUCUUAUUUAUAUUAUUUCAAUUAUUAUCAGGGAAUACCCUAUGCAUCGGGGAAAAUAAUCAAUUUAGUUUGUAAAAAUAAGUACAUUAUACGGGAAAUAACCAAUAUAUUAAAGAGAAUAAUCAAACCUUUUUUAAAUAAAAUAUAUAGCAAGUUUAUUAUUAAUAUAAA